rnacentral:rRNA from 1 species
AACGAACGCUGGCGGCAUGCCUAACACAUGCAAGUCGAACGAGACCUUCGGGUCUAGUGGCGCACGGGUGCGUAACGCGUGGGAACCUGCCCUUAGGUUCGGAAUAACUCCCCGAAAGGGGUGCUAAUACCGGAUAAUGUCUUCGGACCAAAGAUUUAUCGCCUUUGGAUGGGCACGCGUUGGAUUAGCUAGUUGGUAGGGUAAAAGCCUACCAAGGCGACGAUCCAUAGCGGGUCUGAGAGGAUGAUCAGCCACACUGGGACUGAGACACGGCCCAGACUCCUACGGGAGGCAGCAGUGGGUGAUAUUGGACAAUGGGCGAAAGCCUGAUCCAGCAAUGCCGCGUGAGUGAUGAAGGCCUUAGGGUUGUAAAGCUCUUUUACCCGGGAUGAUAAUGACAGUACCGGGAGAAUAAGCUCCGGCUAACUCCGUG